CCAAUAGCGUAUAUUAAAGUUGUUGCAGUUAAAAAGCUCGUAGUUGAAUUUCGGGAUUCAUCCGUUGGUCGGGCCUCACGGUCCGUACUGGUGUGAUGGGUUCCUACCUUCUGAAUAACCGGCAUGCCAUUAAUUUGGUGCGCCGGGGAAGCAGAACUAUUACCUUGAAAAAAUUAGAGUGCUUAAAGCAGGCAAGUGCCUGAAUAGGUUAGCAUGGAAUAAUAAAAUAGGACGGCAUGGUUCUAUUUUGUUGGUUUCUAGGAUCACCGUAAUGAUUAAUAGGGAUAGUUGGGGGCAUUAGUAUUCAAUUGUCAGAGGUGAAAUUCUUGGAUUUACUGAAGACUAACUUCUGCGAAAGCAUUUGCCAAGGAUGUUUUCAUUAAUCAAGAACGAAAGUUAGGGGAUCGAAGACGAUCAGAUACCGUCGUAGUCUUAACCAUAAACUAUGCCGACUAGGGAUCGGACGAUGUUAAUUUUUUAAUGACUCGUUCGGCGCCUUACG
rnacentral:rRNA from 1 species